rnacentral:snRNA from 1 species
AACCAUGCAAUGAGCACAAAGCGAACUAUUCUUUCGUCUUUUACUAAAGAAUACUGUGUGUUCGUUGCAUAUAAUGGCAUGUGUCAAUUUUUGGAGAGACCCUUUACCCAAGGGCU